rnacentral:tRNA from 1 species
CAAAGUGUAGCUUAAACAAAAGCAUCUAGUUUACACCUAGAAAAUAUCAUGUAUUAAAGAUCGCUUUGA